AUUGAACGCUGGCGGCAUGCUUUGCACAUGCAAGUCGAACGGUAACAGGUUAAGCUGACGAGUGGCGAACGGGUGAGUAAUGCAUCGGAACGUGCCCGAUCGUGGGGGAUAACGCAGCGAAAGCUGCGCUAAUACCGCAUACGAUCUGAGGAUGAAAGCGGGGGACCGUAAGGCCUCGCGCGAUCGGAGCGGCCGAUGUCAGAUUAGGUAGUUGGUGGGGUAAAGGCUCACCAAGCCAACGAUCUGUAGAUGGUCUGAGAGGACGACCAGCCACACUGGGACUGAGACACGGCCCAGACUCCUGCGGGAGGCAGCAGUGGGGAAUUUUGGACAAUGGGCGAAAGCCUGAUCCAGCAAUGCCGCGUGCAGGAAGAAGGCCUUCGGGUUGUAAACUGCUUUUGUACGGAGCGAAAAGGUCCCCUCUAAUACAGGGGGCUCAUGACGGUACCGUAAGAAUAAGCACCGGCUAACUACGUGCCAGCAGCCGCCGUAA
rnacentral:rRNA from 1 species